GGGCUCUUCUCAAGGAAAGAAU
rnacentral:rRNA from 1 species